AUCCAUUCUUUUCUGUUUAUCCAUGGAGUUUACGUUCCCUUUGCUGUCACUGUAAUGUGAGCACUUGUCUAUUAUUGUUGUUGCAGGUCCUUUAAAAUGCCACCACAUGUCUCCAUUCUUCUUGUCCUCCUCAUCGGUGUGAUUCAGCCCCAAAUUCUCAUCUUCCAUUCCCAAUGAGGAUUCAGUCCACGGAAGGAGUUGGUUCUCUGUGGAGGUAGACCCCGUCGAAACUGAUGUUCUGAUUGCAUUGGACAAGGCUUGAAGAGCAUAUGGUUCUUCUUUGAUGACUUCAUCCCCUGUAUAGCACAUCUUGACUUUCCGAGAGUUCAAAGUGAGCACAUUUGUGCUAAUGCAAAUAGCUGCAGGGCACAUGGUGCAAAGAGCGGACAUUUCUUGAGCAAUAUUUGCCUUCUCAGCAGGUAGAAUCUUCUUUCUCCCGUGACUGAUGGCAAGUGCAACAGAAAAAGUUGCUUUCCCUUUAAUAUUUGGGAGGCCAGAAUUGCUGUCUUUCCUUUCAAGCAUGUAAUGGAGGAAAGAUAUUGCAAGAAUGGCAAUAUAGAAUACGAGGGCAGUCAUUUGCAUGCACGUGCAUACCUUGUCAAUUUCAGCCAUUAACUGGGCAUGGUCAGGUGUAAGGGCCUGGUGCUGUGUGUUCCCAGACCAGAACUUACGCAUUGCAGAGAGGACCACAAGUAUUAUUGCGGCACCCAUUAAAAUGGCCCCUUCAACCCAACCGGUCCCUGUGCCUUCCUCCUUGAUACCAAAUCCAAUUGAGAGCACUGCGGAAAUGAAGAGAAGGAAAAUGUUGCAACUUUUGCAGGAUUUUUUGAGGAGUUCGAAAAAGCUUGGAGCUGGAGUCUCUGUUAUCGUGAGUCGAUUAACUCUGGGUCCAGAACAAGCAUCUACAUCGACUACGAGUCCAUUUUCUGAAUCUGCAUGCUGCUGUUUAGCUUCGUCACCACCACCACCACCACCACCACCUUCCACACUCACAUGGACCUCUGUAGAAACUUGAGGCGAUACUGGUGAAAGGGUCACAUGCUCAGCAUUCCAAGCAGCUAAUCAGGUAUGCCAGUAGAUUGCAAUGGGCCGGUAGAUAUACAAUACAAUUGAGGCUAAUAUUGAGCCCCAACAAAAUGGUAAUUAAAUGGGUAAGUCUUAUCAUAUCCAGUUAUUUAAUUUCUUAUCACACUCAACAUCUAGGAAGUAUUUGGAAAAAUGCAACUCCAACUAGGGGUGUUAAACAGGCUGUGCCGGCCCUGCCCGGCCUGUUUAAACUCGUGCUUUUAAUAUAUUCAUGUCGGGCCAGUCCGGCCCAUUUCGUAAAAUCAUUUAUCCUAGUAUGGCUCAAAGCCCAAGUCCACAUUGAAACGGGCCUGGUCGGGCUCAGGCCGGGCCCGUGCUCAUGCUCGGGCCCUAGAACGAACCUUAAUUUGAAUUUUUUUCACUUGAUUUUUUUUUUUCACUGAAAAAUUAUCGUAAUUAAUUUAUAAGUCUAAUUAACCCAACCUUACAUAGAAUCAAACUAGGGACGCUAAUCUUUAAAAAAAAAAAUGAGGAGUUGUUUUAUCUCCAAUUAAUAAUCCAAAAUGGCCUUCAAAGGUACUCAUAAAAUCUAGGGGUGGUUGUGGUACGGUAACCGCGAAUUUUUCUUCGAACCGCAAAUUGACUGACUAUUUGCGGUAAUGUGAUUUUUGAAAUUGCAAAAAUCAGUCGGUUACUGUGAAUUAACAGUUUAAACUGAUUUGAAUAUUUUGAGCCUAAAUUAGACAAUUUUAGAUCUUUAA